UGGGGAAUAUUGGACAAUGGGGGCAACCCUGAUCCAGCGAUGCCGCGUGAGUGAAGAAGGCCUUCGGGUCGUAAAGCUCUUUAGGCCGGGAAGAAGCGUGGGAGUUUAAGAGAUACCUGUGUUGACGGUACCGGCAAAAUAAGCACCGGCAAACUCUGUGCCAGCAGCCGCGGUAAUACAGAGGGUGCGAGCGUUAAUCGGAAUUACUGGGCGUAAAGGGCGCGUAGGCGGUUGUGCGAGUGUGAUGUGAAAGCCCCGGGCUUAACCUGGGAAGUGCAUCGCAAACGGCAUGACUGGAGUAGAUGAGAGGGUGGCGGAAUUUCCGGUGUAGCGGUGAAAUGCGUAGAGAUCGGAAGGAACGUCAAUGGCGAAGGCAGCCACCUGGCAUCAUACUGACGCUGAGGCGCGAAAGCGUGGGUAGCGAACAGG
rnacentral:rRNA from 1 species